rnacentral:lncRNA from 1 species
CUCAGCCUCCCGAGUAGCUGGGACUACAGGCACACGCCAUCACCUUUGACUGAUUUUUGUAUUUUUAGUAGAGACGGGGUUUGGCCAUGUUGGCCAGGCUGGUCUCGAACUCCUGACCUCAGGUGAUCCACCCACCUUGGCCUCCCAAAGUGCUGGGAUUACAGGCAUGAGCCACCACUCCCAGCCCCAAUGCUACAGGUUUUAAUAUAGCCUUUAUAAGUUUUUUACCUUUUCCAAAAUAUAUUCUUCCAUACUCUUUUCAUUCUCUUAUUUAUGGCUGACUUAACAUACUAGGAAGUGGGUGCCUGACUCACUAGAUAUGUAGCAAUUUACAAAAAAAAAGAUAAUUCUGAACACCGAAAAUUUUCACUUAACAGGCUGGGGAAUUAUCUCAGAAAAGUUUCCUUUUAUCUUAAUAGCUUUGAUUCAAGGUAUUUUUCCGCAUUAUAUGACAAGAAACUCCUAAACAACAGCUAGCCAAUACAGUUAAAAUCAUAAAUAUAUAUAUGAUGUCAAAAGAUGGUAGUUUUAGGCCAGGCGCAGUGGCUCACACCUGUAAUCCCAGCACUCUGGGAGGCAGAGGUAGGUAGAUCACCUGAGAUCAGGAGUUCGAGACCAACCUUAUCAAUAUGGUGAAACCCCAUUUCUACUAAAAAUACAAAAAUUAGCCAGGCAUGGUGGCAUGCGACUGUAGUCCCAACUACUAGGGAGGCUCAGAUAGGAGAAUCCUUGAACCCGGGAGGCGGAGGUUGCAGUGAGCCGGGAUCAUGCCACUGCACUCCAGUCUGGGCGACAGAGUAAUACUCUGUCUCAAAAAAAAAAAAAAAAAAAAAAAAGUAGUUUUAAAUCAAAGAUAACUCCUUUGUCUUGAAUUCACUUAGUACUAAUGAAUAAUGAAUAGCAUGGUUAGAAAAUGUAACCUUCUGUUACAUUUUCUAAUAAGAUUUUAAUAAGGGGCAGGUGGGAGUGAGCGUUUGGUGGUAGGUUACCUGUUUUCUCAUGAAGGUCUCCUUUACUUUAAGCCAACUUCCACCCUAUAUUACAACUUAUCCUGUAUGUUAGCAGGUCCAUUUCAAAGUACUUCCACUCAGACUAUAUUACAGCAAUGAACACAGGUCAGAGAUGACAAGUUCACUCUUGACUACCAUGUUCUUUAGUCUAUAACACAAACGCUUCUUCAUAAUAUUAGCACUCAACUCCAAAACACUGUUCCUUCCAACCCCUAUGAACACUUCAAAUACAAUUUAGGACACUGGACAUUGCGGGAGUAUGAUGAAAAUAGCUCCAUACAAGAAGUUUCCUGAAAAGCAAGGAUAUACUCACCACUUAUACACAACAUUCUACUAUAGGUUCUAGCCAGUGCAUGCAGGCAAGAAAAAGAAACAAAAGGCAUAAAGAAUGGAAAAGAAGAAAUAAAAUAGGCCAGGUGCAGUGGCUCACACUUAUAAUUCCAAUGCUUUGGAAGACCAAUGUAGGAGAAUCGUUUGAGGACAAAAAUUCAAGAACAGCCUGGACAACACAGCGAGACCCUACCUCUACAUAAAUUGUUUAAAAAUUGGGUGUGGUGGUACACAUCUGUAGUCCUAGCUACUUGGGAAGCUGAGGUGGGAGGAUCACUUGAGCCCAGGAAUUUGAGGUUACAGUGACCUAUGAUCAUGCUGCUGCACUCCAGAGCAAGACCUUGUCUCGGCCAGGUGCGGUGGCUCACACCUGUAAUCCCCAGCACUUUGGGAGGCUGAGGCGGGCGGAUCACAAGGUAAGGAAUCCAAAACCAGCCUGGCCAACAUGGUGAAACCCCGUCUCUACUAAAGAUACAAAAAAUUAGCCAAGCAUGGUGGUAUGUGCUAGCUACUUGGGAGGCUGAGGCAGGAGAAUCGCUUGAACCCAGGAGGCAGAGGUUGCAGUGAGCCGAGAUCGCGCCAUUGCACUCCAGCCUGGGUGACAAGGGGAGACUCCGUCGCAAAAAAAAAAAAAAAAAAAGGCCUGUCUCUAAAAAAUAAAUAAUAAAUAAAGUUGUUUUUAUUCAGAUGACAGAUAUGUAUAAAGAAAACCCUAAGGAACAUCAAAUAAGUGAAUUUGACUAGGUCUUAGGAUACAACAUCAAUACACAGAAAUCAAUUGUAUUUCUAUAUAUUAACAAUGAACAAUCCAAAUAUGAAAACAUUUUUAAAUGCUAUUGUAAAUGGUAAACUAUAUAGAAAUAAAUCUCACAAAAGAUGUAUGAGAUAUGUACACUGAAAACUAUAAUACUGAGAAGUUAAAAUAGAUAACCUAUCCUCUCGGACUGAAAGACUCAAUAUUUAAAUCAAGCAAAGAUUUCUGAAGGAACAUAAAGAAACAACUAUAAAAAAAGUUGGCCGGGCGCAGUGGCUCACGCCUGUAAUCCCAGCACUUUGGGAGGCUGAGGCGGGAGGAUCACGAGGUCAGGAGUUUGAGAUCAACCUGGCUGUCUCUACUAAAAAUACAAAAAUUAGCUGGGUGUGGUACUCCAGCAUGGCCGACACAGCGAGACUGCGUCUCAAAAAAAAAAAAAAAAAAGUUUUAAAAUUAGACUUCAAAAUAUAUGCAAAAUAAUAUACUCAAGAAAAGACAUACCCAGAACAUAAAAAGAACUUGCACAACGAUAGCAAAAAGGCAAAUCACCCAGCUUAAAAAAAAAGCAAAAGAUCUAAACAGGUGCUUCACCAAAGAUACAUGAAUGAUAAACAAGCACAUGUAAAGAUGCUGAAUGUCGUUGGUUAUUUAAAAAUGCAAAUUAAAAUCACAAUCUAAUACAUACCUACUAAAAAUAAGACAGAUAAUUCCAUGACUUUGUGGGGUUAUAAAGCCAAUGGAA